UAGAGCAGCUCUAUGAACCAAGAACAUAUUCAGGAAAAAUGAAGACAGAGGAAAUAAGAAGGAGGGAACCCACAAUUUCUGAGUAAAUUAAAACAGCUUUGAGUCUUAUCUAUUUGGCUUUUAAAAGGAUUUCAAGAUGACUCUCCAAGAAAAUACAAACGCCUACUAUUCGUCUCCGAGAGAAAGAGGCUUCCCAAUCAGCUAACACAGCAAGUGAAUGUGACACUUGGAGCUUCAGCAGCCCUCGAGUGACUGCUACAAACCAGAAGACCACGAGUCACCUGCACUCUAAAGAAAGCUGGAGUAGAGAGCUAGAAAGAGUUGGUGUUCCUGUGUCUUCGCUGAGCUCUGUACCACCCUGGGGGACCUGCAGAUGGAUUUCACCCUAUGUGAACAAAUUCCAUCCUGGACAACUUCUCCAUUGUAACUAGUGUGCUAAGCAGGUCAGCUAAGAGAGCUGGUCUCACGACAAGAAUAAAGCCUUCCUGGAAUAGGUGUGGACUGGGGUGCUAUGCCUGGAAAUGAUGUUUUCAGAGAUGGCUUGCCCAUAGCAUCUGGUGGCCGAGAUCCCAUAGAGUCAUUUGUCCCUGGAAUUGAGGAGGCUGACACUGGAGGAAUCAUACCAAUGGAUGUCAGUGCUGCCAAAACUGGGUGACACUGAGCCAGUUCGUCCUUCCCCAGGGAUGAUGGCACAUGGUUCUCAACCUGUAGGUCGAGACUCUUUGGGGACUUCAAAUGACUUUUUAACAAAUACCCUGAAUAUCACAUAUUUACAUUAUGGUUCAUAACAGUAGCAAAAAAUACAGUUACAAAGUAGCAACGAAUGCCAUUUUGUGGUUAGGGGGGUCACCACACUACGAGGAACUGUAUUAAAAGGUCCCAGCAUCAAGAAGGGCUUCUGGGAGGUUGGUUGUGUUUGAGCCUGGGGGACACAUCUCAAGAAACUUAGAUCUGUUCAUGGUUUUCUUCCUUUUUUU
rnacentral:lncRNA from 1 species